ensembl:snRNA U2 U2 spliceosomal RNA
AUCGCUUCUCGGCCUUUUGGCUAAGAUCAAGUGUAGUAUCUGUUCUUAUCAGUUUAAUAUCUGAUACGUCCCCCAGCGGGGGGACUACAUAUUAAGCGGAUUUUUAGAACAGGGAGUCGGCAAAGGAGCUUGCUCCAUCCGCUCCACGCAUCGACCCGUAUUGGCAGUGCCUCUGGGAGCGGUGCACUUUCU